rnacentral:lncRNA from 1 species
UUUUAUCAUUUUGGUAUAAUUAACAUGUGAGGGAGUAUUAUUCAAUGUAGCCAAACUACCAUGCAUUUUGUAAUGAGUCAUCGACUAAAAAGAGAAUGGCUUAACUGUGCAAAUUUUAACUGGACAUAUGUGCCAUACGAUAAUGUCCCCUUUGCUUAAUGAAUUAAUUUUCAAACUCUGCAUUUAACUAAAAAUAAGACUUGCAGUCACCAAAGAAACAAAAAACUCAUUUCUAUGUAUCAAGUCUAUAGAAUCCAUUACGUGUGGGUAUAUUAACUGAAACCGAACCCGAAAAAUCCGAACCAAAAACCGAACCAAAGUUAAGAAAAACCCGAACGGGUUUAGAAUUCAACAAGUCCGGAUAUCUGUACCCGAUUGGUUAUAUCCGAUACCCGAACCAAU